rnacentral:rRNA from 1 species
UAGGGAAGUCUUCGGCAAUGGACGGAAAGUCUGACCGAGCAACGCCGCGUGAGUGAAGAAGGUUUUCGGAUCGUAAAACUCUGUUGGUAGAGAAGAACGUUGGUGAGAGUGGAAAGCUCAUCAAGUGACGGUAACUACCCAGAAAGGGACGGCUAACUACGUGCCAG